UGGUGUGAGUGGUCCAUUGACUUGCAGUGUCGUUAGAGUGAAACUACUGAGUUUGACUACACAUUUUCUUAAUCCCUAGCCAUUCGAAUUCUUGCUGUGUAUGUUAGCUUUAGUAGGUUCAGGUUCGCUAUUUGAAGUAGGAUGUAUCUAGAUGGAAUCUAUCGACUUUGGUAGAAAAGGAGAAGUCCUAUGUGAUUUACAUGACUGAGUUUAGAAAGUCUUUGAUCAAAGUAAGUGUGAAUACUAAAAAAGAGUUUUCACGAGAUUCAUAAAUGAAUUUGAGUCGAGCCAAUCUAGCAUAUGACUGAUGAUGA
rnacentral:lncRNA from 1 species